UGUUUCGGCAAGGGGGUCAUCCCGACUUACCAACCCGAUGCAAACUGCGAAUACCGGAGAAUGUUAUCACGGGAGACACACGGCGGGUGCUAACGUCCGUCGUGAAGAGGGAAACAACCCAGACCGCCAGCUAAGGUCCCAAAGUCAUGGUUAAGUGGGAAACGAUGUGGGAAGGCCCAGACAGCCAGGAUGUUGGCUUAGAAGCAGCCAUCAUUUAAAGAAAGCGUAAUAGCUCACUGGUCGAGUCGGCCUGCGCGGAAGAUGUAACGGGGCUAAACCAUGCACCGAAGCUGCGGCAGCGACACUAUGUGUUGUUGGGUAGGGGAGCGUUCUGUAAGCCUGUGAAGGUGUACUGUGAGGUAUGCUGGAGGUAUCAGAAGUGCGAAUGCUGACAUAAGUAACGAUAAAGCGGGUGAAAAGCCCGCUCGCCGGAAGACCAAGGGUUCCUGUCCAACGUUAAUCGGGGCAGGGUGAGUCGACCCCUAAGGCGAGGCCGAAAGGCGUAGUCGAUGGGAAACAGGUUAAUAUUCCUGUACUUGGUGUUACUGCGAAGGGGGGACGGAGAAGGCUAUGUUGGCCGGGCGACGGUUGUCCCGGUUUAAGCGUGUAGGCUGGUUUUCCAGGCAAAUCCGGAAAAUCAAGGCUGAGGCGUGAUGACGAGGCACUACGGUGCUGAAGCAACAAAUGCCCUGCUUCCAGGAAAAGCCUCUAAGCAUCAGGUAACAUCAAAUCGUACCCCAAACCGACACAGGUGGUCAGGUAGAGAAUACCAAGGCGCUUGAGAGAACUCGGGUGAAGGAACUAGGCAAAAUGGUGCCGUAACUUCGGGAGAAGGCACGCUGAUAUGUAGGUGAAGUCCCUCGCGGAUGGAGCUGAAAUCAGUCGAAGAUACCAGCUGGCUGCAACUGUUUAUUAAAAACACAGCACUGUGCAAACACGAAAGUGGACGUAUACGGUGUGACGCCUGCCCGGUGCCGGAAGGUUAAUUGAUGGGGUUAGCGCAAGCGAAGCUCUUGAUCGAAGCCCCGGUAAACGGCGGCCGUAACUAUAACGGUCCUAAGGUAGCGAAAUUCCUUGUCGGGUAAGUUCCGACCUGCACGAAUGGCGUAAUGAUGGCCAGGCUGUCUCCACCCGAGACUCAGUGAAAUUGAACUCGCUGUGAAGAUGCAGUGUACCCGCGGCAAGACGGAAAGACCCCGUGAACCUUUACUAUAGCUUGACACUGAACAUUGAGCCUUGAUGUGUAGGAUAGGUGGGAGGCUUUGAAGUGUGGACGCCAGUCUGCAUGGAGCCGACCUUGAAAUACCACCCUUUAAUGUUUGAUGUUCUAACGUUGACCCGUAAUCCGGGUUGCGGACAGUGUCUGGUGGGUAGUUUGACUGGGGCGGUCUCCUCCUAAAGAGUAACGGAGGAGCACGAAGGUUGGCUAAUCCUGGUCGGACAUCAGGAGGUUAGUGCAAUGGCAUAAGCCAGCUUGACUGCGAGCGUGACGGCGCGAGCAGGUGCGAAAGCAGGUCAUAGUGAUCCGGUGGUUCUGAAUGGAAGGGCCAUCGCUCAACGGAUAAAAGGUACUCCGGGGAUAACAGGCUGAUACCGCCCAAGAGUUCAUAUCGACGGCGGUGUUUGGCACCUCGAUGUCGGCUCAUCACAUCCUGGGGCUGAAGUAGGUCCCAAGGGUAUGGCUGUUCGCCAUUUAAAGUGGUACGCGAGCUGGGUUUAGAACGUCGUGAGACAGUUCGGUCCCUAUCUGCCGUGGGCGCUGGAGAACUGAGGGGGGCUGCUCCUAGUACGAGAGGACCGGAGUGGACGCAUCACUGGUGUUCGGGUUGUCAUGCCAAUGGCACUGCCCGGUAGCUAAAUGCGGAAGAGAUAAGUGCUGAAAGCAUCUAAGCACGAAACUUGCC
rnacentral:rRNA from 1 species